CUCACACACGUUGUGGCAGGGAGGUGAAACCAGGGCAGAUGGGAACUCCCCAACACUGGGCUUCCCAGAGCGCGACACUGCCUUGGGGCCUGAGACCCUGGGAGGCAGGCCCAGGGACCUGGGGCUUUGCCCCUAGGCCUCACCUACUGCACAGAGGGCUCCUCGUCACGCUGUCUCCCUGAGUCGUGGCCCAGGAGCUGUAGGCCGAUCUACUCAGGAAAAUCAGAACCAGAGGAGAGAAAGGAAAGACCUUUCAUGAUGAAUUCUUGUGGCCACCAACCUAUUUGGCUGAGGCAUGGACAUUGAGCAGGUAAACACUGCCAUCAACUGCCACCUGCCUGAGGAAUCCCACACCUACCUGGAUCAGUUGCAGCCAUGGGAGAGGACGCACCCAUUCGAAGAGCCUGAUGGAGGUCUCACACCCACGAACCAUGAGAUCAUGCAUGACCUGAGCUGAAAUCAAGAGUCGGAUGCCCACCCGACUGACCCACCCAGGCACUCCUAGAGUUUAUUCUUCCUAAUUAAUUUCUUUUUAAAGAUAUUUUAAAUUUGAAUAUUGUUGACACACAAGAUUACAUUAGUUUUGGGUGUACAACCCAGUGACUCAGCUUCUGUAUACAUUUUCUUUUUUUGAGAGAGAGGCAGCCAGAGCAGGGAAGAGAGGUAGAGGGAGAGAGAGAGAGACAGAGAGAGAGAGAGAGAGAGAGAAAGAGAGAGAAUCUCAAGCCGGUUCAGUCCCGUGGGGCUUGAUUCCAUGACCUGGGAUCAUGACUGGAGAAACUACAGAGCCACCCAGGGGCCCUUCACUUUCUGUCUACACCAUGCUGUGCUCACCAGAGUGUAGCUGCCACCUGUCACCAGACAGUGAUGUUACAGUAUCACUCAUGAUAUUCCCUGUGCUGUGCCUUUUAUUCCUAUGACCUGUUCCCUUCCAUAACUGGAGCCUGUAUCUCCCACUCCCCUCACCCACUGUGCCCAUCCUCCCAACCUCCUUCCCUCUGGCAGUCAUCAGUUUGUUCUCUGUAUUUAUAGGUCUGAUUCUGCUGUUUGUUUCUUUACUCAUUUGUUUUGUUUUUUUAGAUUACACAUAUGAGUGAAAUCAUAUGGUACUUGUCUAUCUCAGUCUGAUUCAUUUCACUUAGCAGACAUACUGCCCCGUUUGUCCAUCCAUGUCACAAGU
rnacentral:lncRNA from 1 species